rnacentral:rRNA from 1 species
UACGGGGGAGCAAACGUUGUUCGGAAUCACUGGGCGUAAAGGGCGUGUAGGCGGCUGGAUAAGUGGGAUGUUAAAUCCCCCGGCUCAACCGGGGACCUGCAUCUCAUACUGUUCAGCUCGAGCACAUCAGAGGAGACUGGAAUUCCGGUGUAGCGGUGAAAUGCGUAGAUAUCGGGAGGAACACCAGUGGCGAAGGCGAGUCUCUGGGAUGAU